GUGCUGUUCUCAGCAGCACAUAUACUGAAAUUGGAACAAUACAGAGAAGAUUAGCAUAGUCUCUGUGCAAGGAUGACACCCAGAUUUGUGAAGCAUUUCAUAUUUUU
ensembl:snRNA U6 U6 spliceosomal RNA